UUAUAAAAGAAGCUAUAGAAGACCAUUUGAAGUCUGUGAAGUUUUAAGGAAUAAUUGAAGCUGUGCUUCCCCGUUUUGUAGUCAUCCCCUUUCUUUACAUAGAGGCUUGCAAGGAAACGAAGCUCCAGCUCCAAAUUUACAGAAAAUACUUGUCCUCAGAGGCUUUUCCCUUGGGAGACCUCAGGAGUUCUUGUUACCAGUGCUUGCAGCAAAGAGAAGUCUUCAAGUUUCCUUGAACAAAGAAAUAAUGACAAUUUGAAAACAUCCAUUUUUCAAUUUCUAAACAGAAACUCUACACGAUAAGAAUGGAUUGUGCUUUCCUAUUUGACAGAAGUGGAAACAGGAGCUCGGAUGUAUUAAGAAAUACAGCCUGGAAAGCGCUUAAGUGCUGCUAGAAUACAUGGGACUUAGGAGCAGAAAUAUCACUUCAGAUUUGGCCCUCGUAUAUGACAAUGACAUCUUCACUGUUUUUGCCAAAAUAAUUACCUAGCUACCAAGAAGGAAAUCUGAUAUCUUAUGUAUGUUAAUGUUACCCACUGAGGUUCUCUGUAAAACUGUCCAAGCCAAAAUGUUUUCGGCUGUUUGUAAUUUUAUUACUGAUGGAGCCCAGGAAUGAGAAAGUACCAGGAGUCCCAGAUAUGGAGUUUACCCAUUUUUCCUUCUAACUCUCCAUCUUACUAACAUACACUCUCUUUCUUGAUUCAUAACUCAGUGCUACAACACACUGCUGGUGUUUUACAAUUUUCUUUACAUCCUGGACUAGCGGCAGGAAAGAAGCCUCAAGAGGAGGACAGCAGCCUCUCCUCACUUCAACUCUUCACAAAGAGGAAGAAUGAAUAGUUCUCCUAGUGGGAAAUGAAGCUCAGGAAGCUCUCCAAAGAGUCGAUUUGAACUAUUCAUGUGUUAUGCAGAGGUUCCUAUCAUGCCAAGGCAACUCGGUAUUGAAUGAAGAAGACUAGGAGUGAAUUAAUUUGGGGGAAAAAAAAUAAUGUUUCCAUUGCAUCUACUAGAUUCAAAGAGAAGGGCGUGAACCAGAGAGAGAGAAAAGAAAAAAGGUACUGAAAGAGAGUUGUUUUGCAAGAAAAUGAAGGUAUAAUAACCCCAAAUGAUAAUUGCCAUAGUCCUGUUGGGUAGUUGUAUUUUACAAGUUUAAGCUCAGAGACUGCACAGUAAAAUACCAUCUGGCUUUCUUAUAAAUCAACUCCCCUGUUUAUUACAAACACAACCUGACUUGGGAACCAGCAACGACAAUGAUGAAAGAAUUACCUCUGCUCCUCUGAGAAGCUUGGCAGCUUUCCCAUUGCUAAUGCUACCUCUUCGCAUCUUCUAACAGUUCAUCCCUUUUUGCUGCAAUCUUCAUUGUGGGUGCUGAAUACUCAGUGUCUGUAAUAUCUUUGCAAGCCUGACAUUGAGUAAUAGCUUUCUAAAAAUGCCUUGAAGGCCAUUUUAAAUGUGGCAAAAUGGUCUGUAACAAAAUAGGUAAAUGCAAAAACCUCAUGGGAUUUAUAUAAAAAGCCCCUGAAGAAGGGAAGGAAACUAAUUGCUGUCUAUGUUCAGCUAUUGUGUUAAAAUACCUUUUGCUUCAACACUUUUCAUGGAUACAAUAUUAAUACACUUUUUCCUGGGGAGAUGUAGCUUUUCUCACAAGAAUAUCUAUCACCUAGAGGAUAAGACAUUAUUCAGGUCAAGAAACACUCCAGAAAAGAGUGUCAGUGUCAGGUACUUUAUUAUUUUCCCAGAUAUUGCAGAGCCUCAUGGGAGAUCCUUCCAUGUGUCAAUCAUCUUUACAGACCCAGAUUCUGAUUGAGAGGUGUAAUCAAAUCUCUGGGAAAGGUCGUAAACAGCAAAAAAGAUCAAAGAAAAAAAUAUUUAAUGGUUGCAAAUACUUCUAUCUACAUAAACCUAACUAUAAUUUGUAUGUGUUAGAUUAUAUGUGGAAUUUUAUCCCACACUUAUAAGUGCUUAGGGUUGAUAGUGAUUUACACAAGAUGAAGGAAUACUCUCUUAAAUAACUGUUUUCUCAGUAACCAGCUUCCUGGGACUGUAAAGAAACAACUAAGAAAGAAUGCUUUGAGGAUUAAAAAACUAUUGUAUAGACAAUUGCCAAAGAUUUUAUCUUUAGAUAACUAUCUUUUUCUGUCUUCACUGGAACAGAAGAAAAGUUGAUUUGCUUCAAUGAGACAUCUGUUCUGUUUUGUUGUGACCAUUACACACAAUCUCUGCAUGCUGUCCAAAUGCUUUGUCAAGGUUAAGCAGGGAUAAGGAUGCCAUCGAAGUUCUUACCAUAGGUACAGAAUAGUAUAUUACCAACAUGUUAUGGCAAUGGAGCUGAGCAUGUAAUGAUGAAAUAGUGACUUGGGCACACCUUUGUAAGCAAAUAUAUCCAUGAUCCUGAUAUAUACUAUAAGCCACACAUUGUAGAAGUUGGAAUGACAUUAGCGGUGAAAACUAUGGUGACACUCAGGUGACCAUAGCAGAAAAAGCUUUCGUACGUGGAAAAUAGAGUAAGCAACAGUGAACAUUAAGAGAAUCAUCCAACACUAUAUCCUCUAUUAGCAUGAUCUUCGAAGCUGCCUGCAUGGGAACUGCUCAGUUACGUCCCACCUCUCCGGGGCUCCUAUGACUCUUGCUGGUCUUGGUCACCCACCAGCCACCGUGCAGUGCACAUCAGACAUGAAGUCCCAGCUGUCAGGAGUACCAUCACUGCCCACAGCUCACGCGUAUGGGCCAACCAUGAAUUAUCGCUGUAUUCUUGACACGGGGAAUGAAAGAAGACGUGAGUAUGGACCACUCUUACUACCACAGUGAGGAGUGCCUUAGAGAUGCUUUUAACAAAGAAAACAAGUACAGAAAGAAAACCUGGCAAUCAACCUGGCACUUUCACUCAAGUGAAACCAUCAUUUCAAUCAGCCACAUACUUACUCUCUUUUUUCCAAAGUAGAGACCGUGGUGUAGCUUGAGAUGUCCAGAUUUUAUUUCAUAAAUGUUCUACUUUAUGUUUCAUUUGGCUUACCUUUAUUAUUUUUACAGUCUACCAAAUGCAUCGCAGGGUUACAACAACCAUUUUCAAUGUCUUCUGUUUAUCCUUCAGGCAGU